GACGAACGCUGGCGGCGUGCUUAACACAUGCAAGUCGAACGGAAAGGCCCUGCGUUUGUGGGGUGCUCGAGUGGCGAACAGGUGAGUAACACGUGAGUAACCUGCCCUUGACUUUGGGAUAACUUCAGGAAACUGGGGCUAAUACCGGAUAGGAGCUCCUGCUGCAUGGUGGGGGUUGGAAAGUUUCGGCGGUUGGGGAUGGACUCGCGGCUUAUCCGCUUGUUGGUGGGGUAGUGGAUUACCAAGCCUUUGACGGGUAGCCGGCCUGAGAGGGUGAACGGCCACAUUGGGACUGAGAUACGGCCCAGACUCCUACGGGAGGCAGCAGUGGGGAAUCUUGCACAAUGGGCGGAAGCCUGAUGCAGCAACGCCGCGUGCGGGAUGACGGCCUUCGGGUUGUAAACCGCUUUCGCCUGUGACGAAGCGUGAGUGACGGUAAUGGGUAAAGAAGCACCGGCUAACUACGUG
rnacentral:rRNA from 1 species